AUUGAACGCUGGCGGCAGGCCUAACACAUGCAAGUCGAGCGGAUGAAGGGAGCUUGCUCCUGGAUUCAGCGGCGGACGGGUGAGUAAUGCCUAGGAAUCUGCCUGGUAGUGGGGGAUAACGUCCGGAAACGGGCGCUAAUACCGCAUACGUCCUGAGGGAGAAAGUGGGGGAUCUUUGGACCUCACGCUAUCUGCUGAGCCUAGGUAGGAUUAGCUAGUUGGUGGGGUAAAGGCCUACCAAGGCGACGAUCCGUAACUGGUCUGAGAGGAUGAUCAGUCACACUGGAACUGAGACACGGUCCAGACUCCUACGGGAGGCAGCAGUGGGGAAUAUUGGGCAAUGGGCGAAAGCCUGAUCCAGCCAUGCCGCGUGUGUGAAGAAGGUCUUCGGAUUGUAAAGCACUUUAAGUUGGGAGGAAGGGCAGUAAGUUAAUACCUUGCUGUUUUGACGUUACCAACAGAAUAAGCACCGGCUAACUUCGUG
rnacentral:rRNA from 1 species